CUCUCGGUAGCCAAGUUGGUUUAAGGCGCAAGACUGUAAUUUAUCACUACGAAAUCUUGAGAUCGGGCGUUCGACUCGCCCCCCGGGAGA
rnacentral:tRNA from 1 species